UUUUGAAUCGUUGACAAGAGG
rnacentral:piRNA from 1 species